GACGAACGCUGGCGGCGUGCCUAAUACAUGCAAGUAGAACGCAGUUGCGAACGCGUGAGUAACGCGUAGGUAACUGCCUCAUAGCGGGGGAUAAAAAUUGGAAACGAUAGCUAAUAUCGCAUACUGUGAGAUGGACCUGCGUUGUAUUAGCUAGUUGGUGAGGUAAAUGCUCACCAAGGCGACGAUACAUACCCGGACUGAGAGGGUGAUCAGCCCAAAAGGAACUGGGACAAGGCCCAGAAACCUAAGGGAGAGAGCAGUAGGGAUUCUUCGGCAAUGGACGGAAGUCUGAGCGAGCAACGCCACGUGAGUGAAGAAGGUUUUCGGAUCGUAAAGCUCUGUUGUUAGAGAAGCGGUAACAAACCAGAAAGGGACGGCUAACUACGUGCCAGCAGCCGCGGUAAGAC
rnacentral:rRNA from 1 species